rnacentral:rRNA from 1 species
CAUUACAAGUGAGGCUACCGAACGUUGGAAACAGCGGUUAGGAGCUUACACCCACCCGUGUUUACAUACUAUUGUUGCUUUGGCGGGCCGUGGCCUCCACUGCGGGCUCUGCUCGUGUGUGCCCGCCAGAGAACCAAACUCUGAAUGUUAGUGAUGUCUGAGUACUAUCUAAUAGUUAAAACUUUCAACAACGGAUCUCUUGGUUCUGGCAUCGAUGAAGAACGCAGCGAAAUGCGAUAAGUAAUGUGAAUUGCAGAAUUCAGUGAAUCAUCGAAUCUUUGAACGCACAUUGCGCCCUGUGGUAUUCCGCAGGGCAUGCCUGUUCGAGCGUCAUUUAACCACUCACGCCUAGCGUGGUAUUGGGGCACGCGGUCUCCGCGGCCCUCAAAAUUAGUGGCGGCGCCGGUGGGCUCUAAGCGUAGUACAUACUCCCGCUAUAGAGUCCCCCCGGUGGCUCGCCAGAACCCCCAAUUUUUACAGGUUG